UUUGAUCCUGGCUCAGAACGAACGCUGGCGGCAUGCUUAACACAUGCAAGUCGAACGAGACCUUCGGGUCUAGUGGCGCACGGGUGCGUAACGCGUGGGAAUCUGCCCUUAGGUACGGAAUAACUCAGAGAAAUUUGUGCUAAUACCGUAUGAUGUCGAAAGACCAAAGAUUUAUCGCCUAAGGAUGAGCCCGCGUCUGAUUAGCUAGUUGGUGAGGUAAAGGCUCACCAAGGCGACGAUCAGUAGCUGGUCUGAGAGGAUGAUCAGCCACAUUGGGACUGAGACACGGCCCAAACUCCUACGGGAGGCAGCAGUGGGGAAUCUUGCGCAAUGGGCGAAAGCCUGACGCAGCCAUGCCGCGUGAAUGAUGAAGGUCUUAGGAUUGUAAAAUUCUUUCACCGGGGACGAUAAUGACGGUACCCGGAGAAGAAGCCCCGGCUAACUUCGUG
rnacentral:rRNA from 1 species